CCUACGGGGUGCAGCAGUGGGGAAUAUUGCGCAAUGGGCGAAAGCCUGACGCAGCGACGCCGCGUGAGGGAUGAAGGUCUUCGGAUCGUAAACCUCUGUCAGCAGGGAAGAACGGUCACUGUGCUAAUCAGCAGUGAAUUGACGGUACCUGCAAAGGAAGCACCGGCUAACUCAGUGCCAGCAGCCGCGGUAAUACGGAGGGUGCGAGCGUUAAUCGGAAUUAAUGGGCGUAAAGCGCUCGUAGGCGGUAUGUCAAGUCAAGGGUGAAAUCCCCGCGCUCAACGUGGGAACUGCCUUUGAAACGGGCAAACUGGAGUGUGUGAGCGGAUAGUGGAAUUCCAGGUGUAGGAGUGAAAUCCGUAGAUAUCUGGAGGAACAUCAGUGGCGAAGGCGACUAUCUGGCACAUAACUGACGCUAAGGAGCGAAAGCGUGGGUAGCAAACAGGAUUAGAUACCCUUGUAGUC
rnacentral:rRNA from 1 species